CCUACGGGUGGCAGCAGUGAGGAAUAUUGGUCAAUGGCCGCAAGGCUGAACCAGCCAAGUAGCGUGAAGGAAGAAGGCCCUAUGGGUUGUAAACUUCUUUUAUAGGGGAAUAAAGGUAUCCACGUGUGGCUAUUUGCAUGUACCUUAUGAAUAAGCAUCGGCUAACUCCGUGCCAGCAGCCGCGGUAAUACGGAGGAUCCGAGCGUUAUCCGGAUUUAUUGGGUUUAAAGGGUGCGUAGGUUGUUUUUUAAGUCAGUGGUGAAAGUUUGUGGCUCAACCAUAAAAUUGCAGUUGAUACUGGAAGACUUGAGUGUGUUUGAGGUAGGCGGAAUGCGUGGUGUAGCGGUGAAAUGCAUAGAUAUCACGCAGAACUCCGAUUGCGAAGGCAGCUUACUAAGCUAUAACUGACACUGAAGCACGAAAGCGUGGGGAUCAAACAGGAUUAGAUACCCUAGUAGUC
rnacentral:rRNA from 1 species